rnacentral:miRNA from 1 species
ACACUUAUUUACUGAGACCUCGGGAAAGUAGUGUGUUUUGUGGCCCCUCAACCGCCGUUGUUGCCCUCGACUUCCGCCUCGGGCAACAACGGCGGUCUCGGGUUCACAAAACACACUGUUUCCCUCGGUCUCAGUAAAUAAUUGC